rnacentral:rRNA from 1 species
UACGUAGGUGGCAAGCGUUGUCCGGAUUUACUGGGCGUAAAGAGCGCGCAGGCGGUCGUUCAAGUCGCGUGUGAAAGCCCCCGGCUCAACCGGGGAAGUGGCCUCGAUACUACCGGCCUGGAGGGGGGUAGGGGGAGCCGGAACUUCCGGUGGAGCGGUGAAAUGCGUUGAGAUCGGAAGGAACGCCCGUGGCGAAAGCGGGCUCCUGGACCCCACCUGACGCUGAGACGCGAAAGCCAGGGGAGCGAACGGG